rnacentral:tRNA from 1 species
UGAUUUAAAGCCCGCUGGAUUGGGUGUUUAGUUGUNAAUUAAAGUUUUGUGGGAUCGANGCCCACUGAUUC